rnacentral:rRNA from 1 species
AUGGCCGAAGGUGAACAUGGCAGUAAGGUCAUAGAUUUUUAUGGAACCUUGAAAGAGAUCAUCCAGUUGGACUAUAACUUGGACAGUAGGUCAGUUAUUUUUUUUAAAUGUGACUGGUUUAAACUUGAUGGAAAGAAGAAGGAGCUAAAAAAUGACCGGCUUUUCAAAAGCAUCAAUGUUGAAAGUUUAUGGUACAAGGAUGAUUCUCUCAUUCUGGCUACUCAGGCAAGAAAGAUCUUUUAUUUGCCAGACACGAAGUAUGGGAAUAAUUGA